UUAAACCAGAGCCCUAUGGAACCCUAUUCCCUAUGUAGUGCCCUACCUUAGACCAGAGCCCUAUGGGGGAAGGGGUGCCGUUUGGGAUGCAGCCUUGGUCUGUAUGUUACUGUAGUCUGACCAGCAUUGGUUCAGUCAUAGAUAGUCAUUACAGUCUUGUGUUGUAGUCCUGGUAGUUUUAGUAGUUUACAGCGGUUUGCAUUCAAUCUCUGUCUGUCUGUCUGUCUCCAGACCUUCUCUAUCAACUUGACCGCCUGCCUCACAUCUCUCUCUCUCGCUCUCUGUCUCUCUCUCUCCAUCUCUCUGAGGAGAAAGAAACAGCCAUCUGAACCCCUAGCUCUCUCAACCUGGAGACAGGACGGAUAUAUGUCCUUAUAUGGGCAUUCUCCUUCUCUCGCCGAACAGUUUCCACAGCAACAGUAUUUAGUUUCCCUCGGUGACAGGGAUGGAAGCGACGGGAGAGAGAAAGAUCAGAACAGGAAGAACGAUGGAGGACAAACCAAAACAAGAAGAGAGGUCAACAUGAGUCAUCAGUCAGUGACCACGACAGAAAGUGAUGAUUACCCUCUCACUCCUGUAUAGUGAUGAUGGCAACUUCUAGGAGGGUUAAGGAUGACUGAUUCUGUGAUGAGUCUUGCUGCUACUCUGGCUACGGACGGGCGGACGGACGGACGGACGGACGGACAGACAGACAGACAGACAGUGGCUCCAUCCCAAAUAUGUUUAAAUGCAGUCUCAGGGUUCGUCUAUCUCUCUGGCCUCUACCAAAGUCUGUAAUUCAUUGGCUGAAGGGGAUGGACCGGUCACUGAAUUAGUAGAGGAUGAGAUCCCGGCGGUGCCUGUCUCCAUAUCAGAGCGCUACAGAGUGGGACGUACUUUGGGAGAUGGGAACUUUGCGGUGGUCCGGGAAUGUGUGGAACACUCUACAGGCAGAGAAUACGCCCUGAAGAUCAUUAACAAGGGCCGGCGCCGGGGCAAGGAGCACAUGAUCCAGAAUGAGGUAGCCAUCCUCAGGAAGGUGAAACACCCCAACAUUGUCCUGCUGAUUGAGGAGAUGGACACUUACAGCGAGCUCUACCUGGUCAUGGAACUGGUUAAGGGGGGCGAUCUGUUUGAUGCCAUCACGUCCACUAACAGAUACACAGAGAGAGACGCCAGCGGGAUGCUGUUCAACCUGGCCAACGCCAUCAAAUACCUCCACAGCCUCAACAUCGUACACAGGGACGUCAAACCAGAAAACCUACUGGUGUAUGAGCAUGUUGAUGGCAGUAAGAGUCUGAAGUUGGGAGACUUUGGUCUGGCCACGGUAGUAGACGGACCUCUCUACACAGUCUGUGGGACACCCACAUAUGUAGCACCCGAGAUCAUCGCAGAGACAGGGUAUGGCCUUAAGGUAGAUAUCUGGGCAGUAGGAGUCAUCGCCUACAUCUUGUUGUGUGGCUUCCCUCCCUUUCGUGGGAGCAGUGAUGACCAGGAGUUGUUGUUUGACCAGAUCCUAAUGAGGCAGCUGGAGUUCCCUCUCCUUUACUGGGACAAUGUGUCAGAGACUGCCAAGGAGCUGAUCAGGUCCAUGCUGCAGGUGGAGGUGGAUCAGAGAUACACAGCAGUACAGGUGUUGGAGCACCCUUGGGUCAAGGAUGGCGGUGUGUCAGAGAAUGAACAGGAGCUGUCAGUAGCAGGAAAGUUAAAGAAGCACUUCAACACCGGCCCUAAAGCGAAUGACACCACCGCCGGGGUGUCUGUCAUUACGUUGGAGCACAGCUUCUGUUUGCAGCGCUCUGGGUCGUUGGACUUCUACCAGCACCCGGCCAUGUACUGGAUAAGGCCACCGCUCUUGAUAAGGAGGGGCAGGUUCUCAGACGAAGACGCAACCAGGAUGUGAGCUCAUGCCUGUUGCCGUUGAUGACAACAACAACAUAAAUGGACAUACCGCCCAGCCUGACCAUCACCCCCCUCUCUAUGACCUUUAACCUCGUCUCCGCCCUUAAUCCCUCCCAUAGCACCAUUCUCACGGGAGAGGUGAAGAGAUGGAACAGGGAACAGGGGACGGCCGAUAGUCCAAAAACAGGAAAAGAAGAAGGGAGAAAAAGAGAAACAUUGUCCCAUGGGACAGAGAGCUGGAGAUCUGGGCAGACAUGUCAGUUAACCCUUUGUGAGGAUCUAUGCUCAACAUGGUAACAGGUCACCUCCACCAGUCUGGGUCAACAUGGUAACAGGUCUACUCCACUAGAUACAGUCUGGGUCAACAUGAUAACAGGUCUACUCCACUAGAUACAGUCUGGGUCAACAUGGUAACAGGUCAUCUCCACCAGUCUGGGUCAACAUGAUAACAGGUCUACUCCACUAGAUACAGUCUGGGUCAACAUGGUAACAGGUCACCUCCACUAGAUACAGUCUGGGUCAACAUGGUAACAGGUCACCUCCACUAGAUACAGUCUGGGUCAACAUGGUAACAGGUCUCCUCCACCAGUCUGGGUCAACAUGGUAACAGGUCACCUCCACCAGUCUGGGUCAACAUGGUAACAGGUCACCUCCACCAGUCUGGGUCUACAUGGUAACAGGUCACCUCCACCAGUCUGGGUCAACAUGGUAAUGGGUCCUCUCCACCAGUCUGGGUCAACAUGGUAACAGGUCACCUCCACUAGAUACAGUCUGGGUCAACAUGGUAACAGGUCACCUCCACUAGAUACAGUCUGGGUCAACAUGGUAACAGGUCACCUCCACCAGUCUGGGUCAACAGGGUAACAGGUCACCUCCACUAGAUACAGUCUGGGUCAACAUGGUAACAGGUCUACUCCACCAGUCUGGGUCAACAGGGUAACAGGUCUACUCCACUAGAUACAGUCUGGGUCAACAUGGUAACAGGUCACCUCCACCAGUCUGGGUCAACAGGGUAACGGGUCAUCUCCACCAGUCUGGGUCAACAUGGUAAUGGGUCAUCUCCACCAGUCUGGGUCAACAGGGUAAUGGGUCACCUCCACCAGUCUGUGUUAACAUGGUAACAGGUCACCUCCACUAGAUACAGUCUGGGUCAACAUGGUAACAGGUCACCUCCACUAGAUACAGUCUGGGUCAACAUGGUAACAGGUCACCUCCACUAGAUACAGUCUGGGUCACCAUGGUAACAGGUCACCUCCACCAGUCUGGGUCAACAGGGUAACAGGUCAUCUCCACCAGUCUGGGUCAACAGGGUAAUGGGUCACCUCCACCAGUCUGGGUCAACAUGGUAAUGGGUCACCUCCACCAGUCUGGGUCAACAUGGUAAUGGGUCACCUCCACCAGUCUGGGUCUACAUGGUAAUGGGUCACCUCCACCAGUCUGGGUCAACAGGGUAACAGGUCACCUCCACCAGUCUGGGUCAACAUGGUAAUGGGUCACCUCCACCUGUCUGGGUCAACAUGGUAACAGGUCACCUCCACCAGUCUGGGUCAACAGGGUAAUGGGUCACCUCCACCAGUCUGGGUCUACAUGGUAAUGGGUCACCUCCACCAGUCUGGGUCAACAUGGUAAUGGGU